rnacentral:sRNA from 1 species
CCCUAGCCCUGAUGGAAACGGCAUCCUUUUUCUUGGGAUUCUGACGAAGGAAGAAUGGCAAGAAAAAGAUAUAGUGGACAGCAGGAAACAGC